rnacentral:rRNA from 1 species
UACAGAGAGUGCGAACGUUGUUCGGAAUUACUGGGCUUAAAGCGCACGUAGGCGGCGCCGCAAGUGCGGGGUGAAAUCCCACGGCUUACCCGUGGAACUGCCUUGCAGACUGUGGUGCUAGAGGAUGGUAGGGGAGAGCGGAACUCCUGGUGGAGCGGUGAAAUGCGUAGAUAUCAGGAGGAGCACCGGUGGCGAAGGCGGCUCUCUGGUCCAUGACUGACGCUGAGGUGCGAAAGCGUGGGGAGCGAACAGG